UGAACGCUGGCGGCCUGCCUAACACAUGCUAGUCGUAGCGAAGCACUUUGAUUGGAUUCUUCGGAUGAAGAUAAUUGUGACUGAACGGCGGACGGGUGAUUAACGCUUGGGCAACCUGCCUUACCCAGGGGGAUAACAGUUAGAAAUGACUGCUAAUACCGCAUAAGACCCCAGAACCGCAUGGUUCUGAGGUAAAAACUCCGGUGGUGUAAGAUGGGCCCGCGUCUGAUUAGGUAGUUGGUGAGGUAACGGCUCACCAAGCCAACAAUCAGUAGCCGACCUGAGAGGGUGACCGGCCACAUUGGGACUGAGACACGGCCCAAACUCCUACGGGAGGCAGCAGUGGGGAAUAUUGCACAAUGGGGGAAACCCUGAUGCAGCGACGCCGCGUGAGCGAUGAAGUAUUUCUGUAUGUAAAGCUCUAUCAGCAGGGAAGAAAAAGACGGUACCUGACUAACAAGCCCCGGCUAACUACGUGCCAGCAGCCGCGGUAAUACGUAGGGGGCAAGCGUUAUCCGGAUUUACUGGGUGUAAAGGGAGCGUAGACGGUCCUGCAAGCCAGAUGUGAAAGCCCGGGGCUCAACCCCCGGGACUGCAUUUGGAACUGUAAGGCUAGAGUGUCGGAGAGGCAGGCGGAAUUCCUAGUGUAGCGGUGAAAUGCGUAGAUAUUAGGAGGAACACCAGUGGCGAAGGCGGCCUGUUGGACGAUGACUGACGUUGAGGCUCGAAAGCGUGGGGAGCAAACAGGAUUAGAUACCCUGGUAGUCCACGCCGUAA
rnacentral:rRNA from 1 species